rnacentral:rRNA from 1 species
GUGUGUGGUCAUACCUGCUUGCCAAUGCCCAAUCUCACAGGAUCUUGGAAGCUUAGUAGGGCUGGGCCUGGUUAAUACUAGGAUGGGAGACCGCUGGGAAUACCAGGUGCUUCAGUGU